GGCAGCAAGGUUAUCAGUUGAGGAAGAGCACACGGGGAGGGUUAGGGCUUGAGCAGAGAGAGGGAGGUUUGAGAGAGCGAGGAAUGAAUCUGGACCGUGUGAUAGGGCUCCAGGGUCCUGUGCAAGUUUUAAGGGUAAACCAGGCACCAUGCACGCAUCGAAACUCUCAUCCACAGAGUUCCACGUGUUCCUCCAUCACAGCUUUGCAGCCAGGAGUUAUAGCAAAUGCAAACCGCAAACAUUUGUUGACGGCUCGCUUUGUGCCAGGCCCCUUCUGGGUGGUGCCUCACUCUGUCCUCACAGCAAUGCUAUCAGAUAAGCACCUGCUAUUACCAUGCCCACUUUGCGGAUUGGACUGGGACGUUAAAUACAUUGCUCGGUGCCCAGCCAUUCAUAAGUAGCAGGGCCGAUGUUCGGGUGCAGACAGUAUUGUUUCAGAGCCUUCUUGGCCUUGUGCCUUCCUGGUUUAGGGCAGAAAAUUGCGUGGUGAAAGUGCGACACAGUGCAACUCUGUGUUGCAUUCUGCUGAGCAGAUGAACACCGAGACAGAAAGCCAAGGAGGUGAUGAUGCUGGUAAUAGAAGGAUUGAAAUUAUAUGGCAUUAAAUGAUAUAUCCCUUGGGGUCUGGUUGGUAGGAAAGGGAGUGGAACUGGAGUGGGUCUAGGAGUUUGGUGUCCUUGGAGAACAGAGUACAUAAGGGACGAGAGUGGACUUAUGAUGGAGGGGGAGAUGUUUUUCAUCCAGAAUACACAUUUGGAAGUUUACUUUCCCUGAAGCAUUCUAUUUUCUUUAAAAGGUUCUGGCCAUAUAUUCAUAUGAGCACUCUUUUUGACUGAUCAGUCUCUACACAACUUUCCACCUGUAGAAGAAGAGCUUAACACUGGAGAUAUUUUGUCAUGCCUCAGUGGAAAUGAACCUGAUUAGUAUCCAUGAGGAUGCAGGUUCACUAUUGGGUCCCGCUUAUUUGGCUGAGGAUCUGAUGUUGCUGUGGCUGUGGUGUAGGCUGGCUGCUGUAGCUCCAAUUGGACCCCUAGCUGGAGAACUUCCAUAUGCUGCAGGUGUGGCCCUAAAAAGCAAAAAAAAGGGGGGGGGGCGGGAAAUGUACUGACACUAAUACCCCUGUGUUCUGUUGGAAAAUACAAACUCUAAGCAGUAACGUUUCAUGUGGUCUGUUGCACAGUGAGCUGUGUGAUGAGUUUUAUUAAAACUUUUUGGCCUUUCCAUCCCUCAGACUGAAAUACACUGGCUAACUUUCUUCAUCCACAGGGCGUCUCUCUGAGGACAGUGUAGGAACACUGAACAGUGACUUACCUGGAUUAUAAGGGCAUAUCAAUAUGAGACAAUCCAUGCCAACAUUUUUAAAAAGUGUUUUUACCUGUGAAGAGACUUGGCAGCCCUCAGAGUCCAGGACUCACGCAAAGCAACUGAGAAAAUAGGAGAAAACUUUAAAAGGGGUUUCUUUCCUCUUCUCAGUGAGCUUUGGUGAAUGUUGCAUCUAUAGUGAAAGAAGAGAUGGCUUUGAAUAAGGACCAUUUGGGAGUUCAUUCAUUUGUUUACAUGAUCAGAAUUAGGAAAGUUGAUCAUGCAUUAGGCCAAAGAAAAUCUCAAUUACUACAAGCACCAAAAGCCCAGAACCGAAAUAGCAAGAAUAUAGCUGUCUCCAAAUCUAAACACAUGUAAACUUUAAAAAUGCUUUCUCCGUAACUCAGAAAGAAGUACAACUUGGUCGGAAAGAGCGAAAGAGCAAAGGCUAUGUGUUCCUUGCUCUUUGCUGAACAUUGAAUUUCAGAUCAGCCCAGGCCAGGUCAGCAUGACUGGAACAGUCAUACCACUGCUUGGUCUCCUGGAGUUUUUGAAGAGCAGAGAAAGAAAAACUGUGAUGUACACCAGCAAGUCUCAAACUUUUUGUCCUCAGGAUCCCUUUAUCCUCUUCAAAAUUAUUCAGGGGCCCAAAGAUACUUUUUUGUAUAACUUAUGUCUAUCAAUUUGUAUCAUGUUAGAAUUUAAAACUGAGAAAUUUAUACUUUUUAUUAAUUUCUUUAAAUCAAUCCAUUAAAUGUUAAUAAAAUACAUUUCCGAAAAUUUAUUUUUCAAAAACCAAAAAUAAUUAUAAAAAUUGACUUUGCUUUAUAAUUUUGCAAAUCCAUUUGGUAUCUGGCUUAAUAGACAACAAUUGAGUUUUGUUUUUUUUUGUUUGUUUGUUUUUGGGGUUUUUUUUGCCUUUUUGCCUUUUCUUGAGCCGCUCCUGCGGCAUAUGGAGGUUCCCAGGCUAGGGGUCCAAUAGGAACUGUAGCCGCCGGUCUACACCACAGCCACAGCAACUCGGGAUCCGAGCUGUGUCUGCAGUCUACACCAAUAGCUCCCGGCAAUGCUGGAUCCUUAACCCACUGAGCAAGGCUAGGGAUCGAACCCACAACCUCAAGGUUCCCAUUUGGAUUGGUUAACCACUGCAUCACAACGGGAACUCCAACAAUUGAGUUCUUAUAUCUACUAAAUGUUUUCAGUCUUUUGUGAACCCACAUAUGAUGUGGCCUCUGGAAGACUCCUCUGUCCACUCACAGAUGAUGAGCGUGAAGAGACAGUAUUAUUAUGAAGAUAGUUUUGACCUCUCAGAUGCUCUGAAAGGGUCUUUGAGAGCUGCUUUAGAACUGGUGUACGAUAGGUAUCUUUUCCAAAUAAAUCAAUAAAAAUACUUGUUGUGAAUUCUGGGGUAAUUUAUCUUUGGGGUGAUGACAUGCAAAGAAUGCAGCCCCGUGAAUCAAAAUUAAAUCUGCUUUCGUUCAAAAACCUUUAUUGUGGAAGUAUAUCUAAUCAAAUAAAAUUGACAUUCUGUUCUUUAAAAUAAAAUUACAUGGAAUUAAAUGAGAAAAAGUCUCACUCACUGCUUAAACUGCUUAUAACUGCACAGAAAAUGUUGGUUCCCCUCCAAUAUUCCUCUGUUCUUCACUUCCCUCUUACUAAGCACCUAGUUGGAGAAGACACUAGUCUAAAGGCAUGUAAUUUUUGCUUCACCAGGUUCUGCUAGGAUGAAAAUACCAACACGAUGGUGCUUGUUAUGCUCUAUCUCCUCCACAUCUGCUCUGCAAGUCCUUGUGGCUGUCCUGGCGGUGCCCCACUGGUGCAGGGUGUGUUCACAGACUCUCUUCCCUCCACGUCUCUGGCAUCAUCAUCCCUGCUUCCAGGUGCAAGGCAGCCUUAGCUGUCUCUUUCCUUUUCAAAGUGUGGGCCACCUACUGGGAGCUUCUUCUGUCCAUCACCCAGGGUGGAUCUCUUAUCUUUAGCUACUAGACUGAAUGCUUCACUUCCGGUGAUUAUAUUCCGCUUUGUAGGCUCCAAAGGAAGUGGUGAUGUAUUGUGCUCCCAGGAACACCCAUGUCAGUCAAGCAGUUCUCUUGUUGUUUUGUCCCCUAUACCCGAGGACACUGACCUCAGACCAGGAGACCAGUUGGUCUACUUAAGAUUUUCCUCUUUUCUUGACUCCUCGACUGUUUUUUGACCACAUUUGAAAGCAUGUGCUUUUUGCCUUAGGAUGACUGCUUUCUUUGGAAGAGUCUAUGUUCAUCCCACUGGAAUAUGGUUGGAGAGCAAGUCUACUAAAGUGCCAAACAGGGCCACCUGUGUAAAGAUGUAUAUACAACAUAGUAUAUACAACACGAUAUACACAACAUGGGUAUACUAUGGAUAUGCAUCCCAUGGUAUACACAACUUUGGAUAUGCACCACAUCGUAUACACAACCUUGAGUAUACAUAACUUGGGUAUACACAACAUAGUAUACACAACCUUGAGUAUACAUAACUUGGGUAUACACAACAUAGUAUACCUGACAUGGGUAUACACAACAUAAGCUCUUAAAAUACCUUCGUCUAGUAGUGAAUAUACUUCCAGUGUUGAAAUGGACCUGUAAGGUAAUUUUUCUUAACCAGCCAUGUAUUUGCUUAUGUAAUCAAGUGAGUUUUGACCUUGACUGUUGGCAAUAGAAUGGAGAUUGUGGGAAGAGGGGAAGAAAUAAUUGUUUAUUGAGUCUCUGCUGAAUGGUAGGUCUUAGGUUAGGUUCUUUUCAAGUCGUAAUUUAAUUUUUCAUUUUUUUCAAUAGUCUUUCCAGACAGGUUUAUUAUCUCCAUUUCACAAACUGGGAAACUGAAGGUCGGAGGUUAGUUACUGGUUCCUUGCACAAUAUUUUGUUAUAUAUUCUGCAAUAUUUAGCAGAGCCAGGAUUGUAAACUGCUCGCCGCAAACCCUGUACUUUUUCUGCUAUCUCAGGAAGACUGACUUCCUAAUAGAAACUCCGUCCUGCAUGAGGAAGAGCAUAAGAGCAUAUGGAAAAUAGGGAGUUACAGGGCUAUUUUUCCCCCUCAAAGAAUAUUUAUUUAAGUUAUAACUUAAGUAGAAUAUUAUUUCACCCUGCAGCCAAGCUUCUUUUUCCAGUAUCUUUCAGGUUGGUAAACUAGGGGCAUUGUUUUCCAAAUCUUCGCCUUUUUCGUGCAGGGUUCUAGAUGGGGAAAUUAGCCAUUAAGGUGUAGCCAUGAUAACAUGGAUAGGAGGUUUUGGUUCUGUCGCCCUGUGCCCGCUUACCUGUGUCCCCACUUCUGUCAUCUUUCAUGGUUGGGUCAAGAGGUUCCUUUCUUUGACAAAUAGUCUUAGUCUGUCCCCUCCAUGGCUGCAGAGGACAAAUCCCUGGUUUGGGUCCCAGUCUGUCCACAUGUGGGUUUUUUCGUUUUUGUUUUUUUUAGGGCCAUUCCCUUGGAGAGUCCCAGGCUCGGGGGCGAAUUGGAGCUACAGCUGCUGGCCUACGCCACAGCCACAGCCACACCAGAUCCAAACCACAUCUGCGACCUGCACCACAGCUCACAGCAAUGCCGGAUCCUUAACCCACUGAGCAAGACCAGGGAUCGAACCCACAACCUCAUGGUUCCUAGUUAGAUUCCUUUCCGCUGCACCAUGACGGGAACUCCUAUAUGUGUUUUCUUAUACUUUAUGCAGAGAGAAACAUUAGCGUGUCUAGAAUUAGCAAUAUAGUGUUAUAUGAACCAAUAAGUCUGUAUUAUUUUUUACUUUUCUUUUUUUUUUUUUUUGUCUUUUUGCUAUUUCUUUGGGCCGCUCCCGCGGCAUAUGGAGAUUCCCAGGCUAGGGGUUGAAUCGGAGCUGUAGCAGCCAGCCUACGCCAGAGCCACAGCAACGCGGGAUCCGAGCCGCGCCUGCAACCUACACCACAGCUCACGGCAAUGCCUGAUCGUUAACCCACUGAGCAAGGGCAGGGAUCGAACCCGCAACCUCAUGGUUCCUAGUCGGAUUCGUUAACCACUGUGCCACGAUGGGAGCUCCUGUAUUAUUUUUAAUGAAUAGAUGUAAAACACGCUUCAUUCGACCUUCUUACCAGCCCUACUUAGGGGGUAAGGAUAGUCUGUUUCUCUUAUUCUGGAGGACACUCACAACAGCAUUCUCAGACUCUAGACAGUUACGAUGUUAUUGGAAGAAUUUUGGAAAUGAUAAACCAGGUAGUUGACCCCUAAUUACAAAAACUUAAUUACCAAUUCACUUAUUAAUAUUUCUAUUAGUUUUGAAAUUUGUAUUGUAUUCUAUUCCAAAUUUUGGGUAUAGAGCAUUUUGACCAAUUCAUGUACUGUAGUCUAGAUUGGAUGUUGAGGGAGGUUUUGGGGGUUGUUGAACAUGGCAUAAUCAUUUGAAGAUAGCGAGGACAGGAUUUUGGAAUAAUUUGGGAUGAGUGGUUUUAAUCACAUAUCUGUAGGAAGAUGAAUUGAACUCUCCUCCCACAUUUAAUUAUAACUACUGCUGUGCUCUUGCUAAAAUUAAAGCUGAACCCAAGAUUGGUGACUUGCUUUUUUAUUGUUGAAAUGAUGUGUUCAUCAUGAGUGAGCUGUAGUGAAAAAUACAAAACCUCAAAGUAUGUGAACUGCAAUUAACCUCACUUCAUCAAAGUCAUUUUUGCCCCUACAGUUACUUGAGUACACGUAUCUAUGCUUGGUGUUUCAGGAUUGUAGUAGGUAAUAGCCAAGAAGUGUGAUAUAUUUUGAGAAAGAAGAGAGUAUUACUAUAGACGUCCUAUGUUAUACUUUCUCUGGGUAACAUUUAUUUCUUUGGGCAUUCAAAUUGUUGAGAAAGAAAAGAUUUUGAUCUUUUUUUCAGCAAUUUAAAAGAUGAAAACAUUUGUAUAGCAAAUUUAUUUAUUUAUUUAUUUAUUUAUUUUUGUCUUUUUGUCUUUUUAGGGCUGUACCCGCGGCACAUGGUGGUUCCCAGGCUAGGGGUCGAAUCGGAGCUGUAGCUGCCGGCCCACACCAGAGCCACAGCAACGAGGGAUCCGAGCCUCGUCUUCGACCUACACCACAGCUCAUGGCAACGCUGGAUCCUUAACCCACUGAGGGAGGCCAGGGAUUGAACCCACAACCUCAUGGUUCCUAGUCGGAUUCGUUUCCGCUGCGCCACCAUGGGAACUCUGCAAAUUUGUUUUUAUGCUAAGAGUUACUAUGGUGUUUUCUUCUUUAGAAUCAAUCUCAGCGAUAACUACUAGACUUCCAUAGCAGUCUAGUAGUUAGGACUCAGUGUUUUCACUGCUACGACUGGGCUUCAAUCCCUGGUGUGGAUCCCACAUCAAGCCACUGCAUGCCGAGGCCAAAAAAUAAAUAAAAACACAUAACAAAACAAAGCAAGAAACUCAGUGAAUAGGGGAGUCAGAAACCAAAUUUCUUUUUCAGUAGCUUUGGAUGCAAAAGAACAGAGUAGUUAAAUGCGCUUCCUUAUACACAGAAGUAAAUAGUUGAUUCAGGUGGAAAAAUUAUAUAGAAUCAUAGAUGGAGUUAGUUCCCUGGUGGUUUAGUUGGUUAAGAACCUGACAUUGUCACUGCUAUGAUGUGGGUUUGAUCCCUGGCCCAGGAACUUCUGCAUUGUGCCGGCAUGGCCAAAAGCAAAAAAAAAAAAAAAAAAAAAAAA
rnacentral:lncRNA from 1 species